rnacentral:lncRNA from 1 species
UGUGAGCAGAUGGUGGAGGUUUUUUGAAAACAGGGCUGUAAAUGCCAUUGAGUUCUGAAAUGUCAUGGAGGGGCUGUUCUUGUUGAACAGUGGAAGAGCGUUGAGAGAAUCACUGACAGUUGAAGGCCGAGUUUCUGGAGUCUCAGAAGGGAACCUAGAAGUAUUAGUUAUUAAGUCAAGGGCCAUUUGUUUAAUAUUUUGACUCAGAGACUGUGUGUGCUAACUCUGCUGGUCCUGUGGAGGCAGCAGCAUCUGUUGAAGAAAACACUACCAUGGAAUGGUGUUGAGGUCUGUGCUGCUCCAAGGUUUUCCCUGAGGCCAUGAUUUAUGGAGAGAAAAAAAAAGUAGUUCCAGAAGCAUGUUUGGCAGAGUCAUUAACAGAGCAGGAAAGAGGUAAUUUUGUGAGCAGAUGGUGGAGGUUUUUUGAAAACAGGGCUGUAAAUGCCAUUGAGUUCUGAAAUGUCAUGGAGGGGCUGUUCUUGUUGAACAGUGGAAGAGCGUUGAGAGAAUCACUGACAGUUGAAGGCCGAGUUUCUGGAGUCUCAGAAGGGAACCUAGAAGUAUUAGUUAUUAAGUCAAGGGCCAUUUGUUUAAUAUUUUGACUCAGAGACUGUGUGUGCUAACUCUGCUGGUCCUGUGGAGGCAGCAGCAUCUGUUGAAGAAAACACUACCAUGGAAUGGUGUUGAGGUCUGUGCUGCUCCAAGGUUUUCCCUGAGGCCAUGAUUUAUGGAGAGAAAAAAAAAGUAGUUCCAGAAGCAUGUUUGGCAGAGUCAUUAACAGAGCAGGAAAGAGAUUCCAUCCUUUAACAUCAAGACAGGAGCAUGGCAGCAUCCAGGCAGACAUGGUGCAGGAGGAGCUGAGAGUUCUACAUCUUCAUAUGAAGGCUGCUAAUUGAAGGCUGAAUUCCAUGCAGCCUGUACCAACAGUGACACACCUACUCCAACAAGGCUAAACUAACUCCAAGAGUGCCAUACCUUCUAAGAAUGCUACAUCCUGGACUGAAUAUAUAGAUAAGAUCUAUGAAGCUAAGAAAUGCAUGCUGACAGGAAUCAGAUAAAGAUGUCUCCUGAGAGACACAGUUAGAGCAUGUGAAAUAGAGAGGUGAAUGCUAGCAGCAAACCACUAAACUGAGAACGGGACUCCUGUUGGAGGAAUUAGAGAAAGGAUUGAAAGAGCUGAAGGGGCUUACAACCCCGUAAGAGCAGCAUUCCAACCAACCAGAGCUUGCAGGGACGAAACCACGACCCAAAUACUACACAUGGAUGGACCCAUGGCUCCAACUCAUAGGGAGCAGUGGAUGGCCUUGUUGGGCAGCAAUGGAAGGAGAAGCCCUUUGUCAAUAUAAGUAAAAUUUUUAAGAGAUAAGUGACAUCAUGAACAGCAGAGGACAAGGGUAGAAAUGACAAUUUAUGGAGUCCGGUCUUCACAUGCUGUGAAAUUGUAAAGGAAAGGCAGCAGAGUAUUGUGAGAAAAACAGUCCAAGGAGAGUAAUGGACACAGAUGUGUAACCCUGUAGCUAUCUGCCCAGGGUUUCAACAGAGGUCAAUGUGUUGCAUUGUUGAGAUGGCAGCUCUGUCCCCCUUUGCACAAAAUCGGAUACCACUUAGGCUCAUGUCACUCCUUCCUCAGGACUUAGCCCUUCCAUUAGGUUAGUUGUCAGUGUCCACAGACUGCACUAAGCCAACCUUAUCAAUCAGGCCACUGUUCAGUAUUCAUUUUAAUCUCUCAGAGACUCCUCAGUCCACUCCUUUGUAGCUUCCCAUCACACAUGUGCCUUCUUGCCUUUAGCUGUUUGUAUGUAGUGCUUCCAGGUUUCUGGUUUGUGUUGUCUUAACUGUUCCCCUCCAGCAUAGAGCCCAGAGUCUGACAAACACUGACCUCUAACUCCCUCCUUCAGUUAAAUCUGUUCCCAAUAUAUACUACAUGCACUUAAUAUGUGAAGGGAAUGUACAUUGCCUGUCCCUCUGAUUUGUGAGGGUAUAUCAUAAAGUUGCUAAAUAGUACACCUUGAUGUACUGUAUUGCUUGUCCUAGGGACUUAGCAUAUGAGUUUUGAAUUAAACUGCUUGCCUAUUAAUUGUAAGAGUUUCCCAUUAAAAUAUUCGAAGUGAAAGUCAUGCAUUUUAAAAUUUUUAUUACAUCAGUACCAUUUUUAGUGCAUUUUUAAGUGAAAUCCAUCUUUAACCCUACUCUGAAAUACUGCUCAUAUUACCAAGUCAUGUGUUAUUAGUUGGCAAAGAGAAAAGAUAUUUGAAUGUGGCUUCUCUGAACUUUCUUUCUUUCUUUCUUUCUUUCUUUCUUUCUUUCUUUCUUUCUUUCUUUCUUUCUUUCUUUCUUCCUUC